UUUCAAAGCGCCAUGGUUUCCAUGUCGCGUUGUAGACUGAAGGGGCGCUAUCUUGCGCGGCCCGGGUAUAGAUCCGUUGGAACGCGGUAUCAUAGAGGGUGAGAAUCCCGUCCGUGACCCGGUGUCCGUGCAUGUACGUUGCGCUUCCAAAGAGUCGGGUUGUUUGGGAAUGCAGCCCAAAAUGGGUGGUAAAUUUCAUCUAAGGCUACAUAUGGGCACGAGACCGAUAGCGAACAAGUACCAUGAGGGAAAGAUGAAAAGCACUUUGAAAAGAGAGUCAAAAAGUACGUGAAACCGUUAAAGGGGAAACGAAUGGGGCUAGCAUUUGCGCCUGCCAUGAUCAGCCAGACGUCCCGAAGCCACGUGGGGGUGGAGAGCGCCUCGUGCGCCUGUUUCCCACGUGUUCGGAGGAGGCGGCUGGUGCACUUGUGGCCGGCGCAGGCCAACAUCGGUUCGGGCAUGGGACAGACACCUCGGGGGAAGGUGGUUGAGGCGCUUCGGCGUCGCAACGUUAUAACCCCCGUCGAAUCUCAAAGUCCUGGCCCGGACCGAGGAGCAGCAGCGCGAUAACCUCGGAGAGCCACCGCUCGGUCCGGCGAGGGUAGGGGACUGUCCUCCACGAGAGGCAGUGCCAUGCCCUCCGCAGGUCGAAAACGCGGGCCUACCCAGAACACGCGCUUGUGAUGUUGGCGAAAUGGCUUCAUCCGACCCGUCUUGAAACACGGACCAAGGAGUCUAACAUAUACGCGAGCCAUAGGGUGGAAAGCUCCAGUGGCGCAAUGAAAGUGAAGGUGCACAUGGUGUACUGAGGUGAGAGCCUUUCCGAACAUGUUUGCGGGGGGCGCAUCAUCGACCGAUCCGGAUGGUUUCCUGAAAGAUUCGAGUAAGAGCGUAUCUGUUGGGACCCGAAAGAUGGUGAACUAUGCCUGAACAGGGUGAAGUCUGAGGAAACUCAGAUGGAAGCUCGUAGCGAUUCUGACGUGCAAAUCGAUCGUCUGAUUUGGGUAUAGGGGCGAAAGACUAAUCGAACCAUCUAGUAGCUGGUUCCCUCCGAAGUUUCCCUCAGGAUAGCUGGAACUACCGAGCAGUUUUAUCAGGUAAAGCGAAUGACUAGAGGCCUUGGGGUUGAAAUAACCUCAACCUAUUCUCAAACUUUAAAUAGGUAAGAAGCCUGGCUUGCUUAACUGAAGCCAGGCACUGAAUGCAAAGUUCCAAGUGGGCCAUUUUUGGUAAGCAGAACUGGCGAUGCGGGAUGAACCGAACGCGAAGUUAAAGUGCCAAAGUUCACGCUCACCUAGAACCCAGAAAAGGUGUUGGCUGAUGAAGACAGCAGGACGGUGGCCAUGGAAGUCGGAACCCGCUAAGGAGUGUGUAACAACUCACCUGCCGAAUCAGCCAGCCCUGAAAAUGGAUGGCGCUCAAGCGUGACGCUUAUACUUCGCCGUUGCCGUAAGAGACUCCAACUUUACCGCAACGAGUAGGAGGGCGUGGAGGUCGUGAAGCAGCUUAGGGCGCGAGCCUGAGCGAAACGGCC
rnacentral:rRNA from 1 species